rnacentral:rRNA from 1 species
ACUCCUACGGGAGGCAGCAGUGGGGAAUAUUGCACAAUGGGGAAAGACCCUGAUGCAGCCAUGCCGCGUGUGUGAAGAAGGCCUUCGGGUUGUAAAGCACUUUCAGUUGUGAGGAAAGGGAUGUAGUUAAUACCUGCAUUCUGUGACGUUAGCAACAGAAGAAGCACCGGCUAACUCCGUGCCAGCAGCCGCGGUAAUACGGAGGGUGCGAGCGUUAAUCGGAAUUACUGGGCGUAAAGCGUGCGUAGGCGGUUAUAUAAGCUAGAUGUGAAAGCCCGGGGCUUAACCUCGGAACUGCAUUUAGAACUGUAUGACUAGAGUUUUGUAGAGGGUGGUGGAAUUUCCAGUGUAGCGGUGAAAUGCGUAGAGAUUGGAAGGAACAUCAGUGGCGAAGGCGGCCACCUGGACAAAAACUGACGCUGAGGCACGAAAGCGUGGGUAGCAAACAGGAUUAGAUACCCUGGUAGGU